CCUGCAUCUUUCCGCAGGGCUUGCAAGACAGAGCUGUUCCGCCUGGCCUUUGGUUUGGACUGAGUCGGACCCUUAUGUCUUCCCUCCCCUUACGGUUUUGAUUUAUGGGCUACUUUUAAAAUGAGGCUGCUUUUUAAAUUGCAUUUUAACCUGUAUUUUAAAUUGGGCCCCCCCAUUAUCUUUCUAUUGUAAUUUUACUGGUGUUAGCUGCCCUGAGCCCGGCUCUGACUGGGGAGGGCAGGGUAUACAGUAAUUAUUAUUAUUAUUAUUAUUAUUAUUAUUAUUAUUAUUAUUAUUAUCAUCAUCAUCAUUGCAGGGGGUUGGACUAGAUGACCCUCGGCUCCCUUCCGACUCUAUGAUUCUCUGAUUCUAUAAAGUCAAGAACUGGGGCAGCUUGUGUAAAUCCAGGACCAUCCCUGGAAAAUAGGGACGCUUUGCACGACCCGCUUAGAAAGAUAAAUUCAUUUGGGUCGACUUUAGAAAAAGAUGCUAAGAAUGAGUAUUGUUGUUUAAAUUGAAGGCUAUAAGUUUAAAAUUGGAUAACUAAGAUGAAUUAAAUAUAAAAUAAUAAGGCAAAUGAUGGGGAUAAGAACUUGCUGAGCUAAUUAUUGGAAUUGGAAUACAAGAAGGGGAGGUGUGAGGAAGUCAGGGAAAGAUGGUAAGAAAAUAAGGAUUUGAAAUUAUACUUGUCUUUUUUCGUGUGGUGUUUAUUUGUGUUUUUGUGUUUGUUUAAAAAUUCGUGAAACCUUAAUAAAAAUUUAUUUAAAAAAAAAGAAAGAAAGAUGAAUUCAAAACAACAAGUGAAUUGCACACUUCUGCAACAUCCAAUCAAAACGAUUUAGUUUAACUCAGCAAAAACGGUGGCCCAACUUUUCCAAGCCUGAUAAGUCAUUACUAAGCAGGGGUGGGAAAUCUUAAGGCUUGCACAAGAGGGGAGGUGUUCCUGCUACUCAGUUCUCUUCCUGGGCGAAGGAACUGAUCUCUGGUUCUUAGAGAGGCAGGAAGUUGCCCAUCGAAAGGAAGGGGGGAGGGAAGACACUAUUGGUGGGGGGGGGGGAGAGAGGCACCCCGCUCACAGUCUGGGAAGAGAAGCGGGUUUGGUUAAGGAAGAGGCUUCAGAGGAGGAAAAAGGUACUGAAUAGCUUCUCCCUCUUUUGAAGUGCAUCUGUGCAUCGUGGCAACUGCUGUGAGAGUCCCAGAGAUGGCCCAGUUUAUGUCUCUCCCUCCAUCCAGCACAGUGGCUUCAGAGGCACCACCCGAACCCUCUUUUCUUUGGGGAGGAGUAGAAACAGCUUCGAAGCAGCCGUCUCAGGUAAGGGAAAGAUAACUGAGGUUAUGCAAAGCAGGCAGUGCGGAUGCUUCCCCCUGUCUUGAGCUGUGAAAUAUUUCAUUUAUUUACUUAUUAAAUGUGUGUACCGCCCAUCAUUCGACGAUCACGGGGCAGCUCACAACAUAAAAAUACAAAAC
rnacentral:lncRNA from 1 species